rnacentral:rRNA from 1 species
GAGGAAUAUUGGUCAAUGGACGAGAGUCUGAACCAGCCAAAUCGCGUGAAGGAAGACUGCCCUACGGGUUGUAAACUUCUUUUGUACAGGAAUAAAAGACAUUACGUGUAAUGUAUUGCAUGUACUGUACGAAUAAGCAUCGGCUCACUCCGUGCCAGCAGCCGCGGUAAUACGGAGGAUGCGGCGUUAUCCGGAUUUAUUGGGUUUAAAGGGUGCGCAGGCGGGAUUUUAAGUCAGCGGUGAAAUUUUCAGGCUCAACCUGAACACUGCCGUUAAAACUGGGUUUCUUGUGUAGGGAUGAAGUAGGGGGAUUUGUUGGUGUAGGGGUAACUUGUUGAAAAAAAACGAAGAACUCCGAUUGCGUAGGAAGUUUACAAAGCCAUAACUGACGCUAAAGAACAAAAGCGUGGGGAUAAAAAA